UGGGGAAUAUUGCACAAUGGGCGAAAGCCUGAUGCAGCGACGCCGCGUGAGGGAUGACGGCCUUCGGGUUGUAAACCUCUUUCAGCAGGGACGAAGCGCAAGUGACGGUACCUGCAGAAGAAGCACCGGCUAACUACGUGCCAGCAGCCGCGGUAAUACGUAGGGUGCAAGCGUUGUCCGGAAUUACUGGGCGUAAAGAGUUCGUAGGCGGUUUGUCGCGUCGUUUGUGAAAACCAGCAGCUCAACUGCUGGCUUGCAGGCGAUACGGGCAGACUUGAGUACUGCAGGGGAGACUGGAAUUCCUGGUGUAGCGGUGAAAUGCGCAGAUAUCAGGAGGAACGCCGGUGGCGAAGGCGGGUCUCUGGGCAGUAACUGACGCUGAGGAACGAAAGCGUGGGUAGCGAACAGG
rnacentral:rRNA from 1 species